rnacentral:antisense_RNA from 1 species
AGAAGACGCUAGGUGGGCUGCGCGCUCUGCCAGGCGAAGGCUGGAGCGCAGACGGCAAAGCCGCGCGUUUCAGCCGUGGUCGGGUCCGCAGGACCUGGGCGUGGGGACACCACCAGGCAGGAGCAGAGGCAGGACUGGGACGCCAAAAGCUGAGAAUCCUCGAUGCCCGCGCGAGAGCCCCGUGUUAUGGCGAGUUCUGGAGGCUGGGAAGUUCAAGACCAAUGCACGAGAAUUUGGUCUAAAGAGAAUCUUCUUGCUCUGAACACACAUAGUAGAAGGCAGAAGGGCAAGAGAGAGAACAAAGUCUGUGUCUCCACAUGGCAGAAGAGCAGAGGAGACAGAACCUACUCCUCUAUGGCAACCACCCCAUCAAUGACAAAAAUCCUAGAAGGAUGUAUGUAUAGGAAGUUGAAGUGUUGAGAAGAGAAUGGCUCAGAGUCAAGCGGGAACAAGUUCUAUAUCUGGAUAAAGUGCGAAGGAGCUUAAAUCUGUUGAAACCCAAAAUUUGCCUCCGUUUAAUGGCUUAGGUGAGUCUGUCAUUAUAUAGAUGGAGCAUAUGUUACUCUCUUCAGUGUUUUCUUCACUGCCAAUCCUGUUUCAAAUUGUAUGAGUGAUCGAAAUUGAGCCCGCUGACAUUCUAAUCAAGAGAAAAGAAGUAUAUAUGGUGCCCAAUUACCUGAAUCAAAUUGAUUUACUCAUUUAUUCUUCCUUAUGUUUCAAAAAUAAAGAUGUCAUUAAUCCAGAUUUUAAAUAUCAGAAUGUAUUAUAUAACAUUUCAGUAGUAAACCAACAAAUAUCUGAGACAGGUCUCUACCAAGUUAGAGGUUUAUUUUGCCAAGGUUAAGGACCAUGGCCUGUGACACAGCCUCGGGAGGUCCUGAGAACAUGUGCCCAAGAUGAUACAGCCUCGGGAGGUUCUAAGAACAUGUGCCCAAGAUGGCUGGGAUACAGUUUGAUUUUAUACAUUUUAUGGAGACAGAAAUUACAGGCAAAACAUAAUACAUGUAAAGCAUAUAUUCAUUUGGCCCAGAAAGGUGGAACAUCUUGAAGCGGUGGCUUCCAGGUCAUAGAUGGAUUCAGAUUUCUGAUUGGCAGUUGGUUGAAGGAGUUAAGCUCUGUCUGAAGAGUUGAAGUCAGCUUGAGUUAAGGUAAGACUGGAAGAGAGUUGUGGAAGCCAAGGUUCUUAUCAUGUGAAGGAAGCCUCCAGGUAGCAGGCUUCAGAUAGAAUAGAGGGUGAAUGUCUCUUAUCUGACCUUAGAAGAUGUCAGACUCUUAUUGAAAUCUUUUAUGGAUCAGGAAAAGACCUGCAAAGGGAAGGGGAUUCUCUACAGAGUAUAAAAUUUCCCCACAAAAGAUGGCUUUGCAGGGCCAUUUCAAAAUAUGUCAGUGAAAUACACUUUGUUGUAAAAUACUUUGAUUUCCUUUAGGGCCUGUUAUCCAUCAAGAGUCGGGUUGGACUUGGCAUCUUAUUAAUACAACGAAUCUCUUCUGUCAGUCUUAGGAUCUCUCUUUUAAUGUUAAUAUUGUUCAGUUUUGUUGAAACUCCAAAAGAGAAAGGAUAUGAGGCAUGUUCAACACCACCUGUCUCAUUGUGGCCUGAAUUAAUUUUUCAGGUUUCUUAAGAAUCUCCUAGGCUGAGAGAUGGGUCCACUCAAUAAGAUGGAAGGGGGUAUAAUUUUAAUUUAGAUUCAUAAAUAAAAAGAAAAAUUAUUUUUCUACAUUCCUUUUUCUCUAAUAAUAUUUUUAUUUUGUUUUACCAUUUGAAAUUCUAUGGUCAAAAAUUUCGUAAACUAAAAUUUCUCCUGAGAUUCAUUUUAGAAGAAUUUUCUAGGCAAGUGUUUUUAGUCUCUAUCAAGAAUUUGUAGCUGUUUUUAUUAUUUAAGAAAACAAGCAAAUGAAAAUAUGUGAUCUUUAAGGGCCAAUAUAAUAUUUUAUUCUAUCAAUAGGCUUAUGCAGAACUGAUUUUGGUAAAGAUUACAGCAGGGUAUAGUUUUAGAAUUUCUGUCUCAAAUGCAAGUUGGAAUAACAUUCUAUAAUUUGCUUUUAACACACACACUUAAUGAAUGUAAAUAUGAAUCUCAACUAAUAAAAGAAUGAAAAGAACAUAUUUUUCUUAGAUGCUUUUCUUCAGAAACAUGAAAAACCCUCACACUAGUUUUUGGUCUGAAUUAGAGAUAGUCUAUUUAAUGUUGAUGCCACUGUGUGAACAUUUUAGAAUAAUUUAAUAUUAAUUGUUUUGCAGUUUCUUCUGUCUAAUGGUAACUGGAAUUUCCCUUUCUAAUUGUGUAUUGAAGAACGAGAACGACUCAUGUUUAAGUGUUAGAUGUAAGUCAUUUCAUAAUUACUCGUGCACUUCAAAAACAACAAAAAUAAAAUCAAAAUCAUAGAUUAUAUGGAAAGCUCAAUUCAAAAUUUGUAAAAUGUAGCAUUUUGUUGCAUUUUAUAGGAAAACAUAGGAUUGUAAUAACAUUAAAUUAUGUAUAUAUUUUUACUCUUCAUUAAAUGAAAUUUAGAGACAUCGUCAAUCAUUAAGUUGCAUUUAGUGAGGUGUUAACAGAAAUUAAUUCAUUGUAAACAUAAUAAUAAAAUGAAUGGAGCAGAAUUACC